UACGUAGGGGGCAAGCGUUGUCCGGAUUUAUUGGGCGUAAAGAGCGUGUAGGCGGCCAUGUAGGUCCGUUGUGAAAACUCGAGGCUCAACCUCGAGACGCCGAUGGAAACCGCAUGGCUAGAGUCCGGAAGAGGAGAGUGGAAUUCCUGGUGUAGCGGUGAAAUGCGCAGAUAUCAGGAAGAACACCCGUGGCUAAGGCGGCUCUCUAGUACGGUACUGACGCUGAGACGCGAAAGCGUGGGGAGCGAACAGG
rnacentral:rRNA from 1 species